rnacentral:rRNA from 1 species
AACGAACGCUGGCGGCAUGCCUAACACAUGCAAGUCGAACGAUGCCUUCGGGCAUAGUGGCGCACGGGUGAGUAACGCGUGGGAACCUGCCCUGUGGUACGGAAUAACUCCGGGAAACUGGAGCUAAUACCGUAUGUGUCCCCUGGGACAAAGAUUUAUCGCCACGGGAUGGGCCCGCGUAGGACUAGCUUGUUGGUGGGGUAACGGCCUACCAAGGCUACGAUCCUUAGCUGGUCUGAGAGGAUGAUCAGCCACACUGGGACUGAGACACGGCCCAGACUCCUACGGGAGGCAGCAGUGGGGAAUAUUGGACAAUGGGCGCAAGCCUGAUCCAGCAAUGCCGCGUGAGUGAUGAAGGCCUUCGGGUUGUAAAGCUCUUUCGCACGCGACGAUGAUGACGGUAGCGUGAGAAGAAGCCCCGGCUAACUUCGUG